rnacentral:lncRNA from 1 species
CCAGGCACGAGGAAGAGGAACGAUCUGAGGUGUCCUGCGCGUUAUUUGCAGAACUCAGCGCUAAGAAUCAUGCGACCAGGCCCGUACUAGUGAACCCAGUCAGUCUCCAUUCAUUGUCCCAGUGAAAGCUGUAAGAACUAAUCAGAGAAGAAGAGGGUCUGCAAGAAAACAUUUAAUGGCAAAAAUUAAAAAUGCAACCACUAAAACACCGAUUACUUUUGCUUAAGAACACUUUUACUAAUAUCAAGACAAUGGAUUAGCUCUGUCAACAAGAUAAAUACCAUUUGUUAAUUAUUCCAGAUCGUUUCUUGUAUAACGGGUUUUCAUUACUAUGCUGGGAUAUUUUGCCAGUGACGGUUGUCUGCUCCUAGAAAGGCUAUUACAGUUAUUGAAAAAAUAUAAAUCCAUUUUUACAUAUUACUCCCGGAACGUAAAGAGUUAAAAACCCGAGGUUCACUCAGGCUCGCCUCUGAUUGGCUGGACGCUUGCCAGAAGACUGUCAAUCACCGAGUGUAAACAAGGCUCUGAUUGGCUGUUGGCCAGUCCGCACUGGGCUGCCUGAAAAAAGCAAUUACUGGCCCUGCGGUUUCAAGGCGGCCCGCAGUUGGAUGAUGAAAGGAGAUAAGGAGGGGCUGUUUCAAGGCGUCCCCGAGGCGGGACCCGGCGGCCCGGGAGCCGGAGGGGAGUCGCGAGCCGCCGAAUCAAAGGGCGAAAUUACACGUUGUAUUAAAAUAUGGAAGCUGCAUGCACGGAUUAAUGCCAUGCAACAACAACAGCAACAUCAACAGCAAUAAUAAUAACAACAUCGCAGCAGUUCGAGCUGGAACGAGAAACGCACCUUUAUUUCCAGCGGAACGUGCAGGGAGUCCGAUUUGGGGGAAACGCGAACGCGGAUUCUCGGCGCACGAGGCGACGCCGACGGCCGGGCGAGACGAAGGCGGAGGUCGCGGUUGCACGGAAGACACACGAAAAUUCCCUGGAUCCUUCUCUUUGACUCGUUUCCACGCGGAAGAGUAUCCCGAGAGCCUCAUUCCAGAGCCAUCUUCCACCCACACCCGGGCCUCCACCCGCUGGGAUGAGGCCUUCCUGCUGGAAGGCCCAAAUGCUCCUUAUCUCCUUGGUCUUUGGUUCCACCUGGAUUUCUGUCUAAAGCGUAGUGCACGCAGGUGA